rnacentral:rRNA from 1 species
AUUGAACGCUGGCGGCAGGCCUAACACAUGCAAGUCGAACGAGUGGCGGACGGGUGAGUAAUGUCUGGGAAACUGCCUGAUGGAGGGGGAUCACUACUGGAAACGGUAGCUAAUACCGCAUACCAUCAGAUGUGCCCAGAUGGGAUUGGCUUGUUUGUGGGGGAUCGGCUCACCAAGGGGACGAUCCCUAGCUGGUCUGAGAGGAUGACCAGCCACCUUGGAACGGAGACACGGUCCAGACUCCUACGGGAGGCAGCAGUGGGGAAUAUUGCAAAAUGGGCGAAGGCCUGAUGCAGCCAUCCCGCGGGUAUGAAGAAGGCCUUCGGGUUGAAAAGUACUUUCAGCGGGGAGGCGGUACCCGAAGAAGAAGCACCGGCUAACUACGUGCCAGCAGCCGCGGUAAUAC